UUUCCGUAGGCGAACCUGCGGAAGGAUCAUUACUGAGUGAGGGCCCCUCGGGGUCCAACCUCCCACCCGUGUUUAACGAACUUUGUUGCUUCGGCGGGCCCGCCUCACGGCCGCCGGGGGGCAUCUGCCCCCGGGCCCGCGCCCGCCGAAGCCACCUGUGAACGCUGUCUGAAGUAUGCAGUCUGAGACAAUUAUUAAAUUAAUUAAAACUUUCAACAACGGAUCUCUUGGCUCUC
rnacentral:misc_RNA from 1 species